AGGACGUACUUGAUCUUUUUCUUUGUUGUAUUGAGUCAAAUUUAUUAAAUAUAUGUAAUGUAAUUGUCAGGUGAGCCGGGACAGCCUUCUUCCUCCGCCCAGCCGCCACAGUAAUUUGUCGUCAAGUUUGCCACAGGAGGAUAUUUUGUUCUGGGUUAACCUGCUUUUCUACCUCGCAGGUUGUUUAUCAAUAUUUGUGUAAUUUUAAUUACUCCUAGAAUUUCCGCAUGUGUUAGCAGAAAUUAUUUGAUUAUGGUCUGUAAUAUUGUUAUCAUGUUGGACCUGUAAACUAAAUAUGCUAUGCAUGUUUGAUGGAUUGGAUGAGGGAGCUGAGCUCCCAUUUAUUUUA